CUGCGCAUUUUCGCUGCUCGGCUGCGCUGCCACUGCAAGAUCAAUUCCGAGGAAGGCUCAACGCUGCUUGAGGAUUUCCUUUUCUAAACCUAAAUCUUGGUUUGGUACAAACGCUUAGGGGUGGAACCUGAGUUUCCAAAUACAAGCUCUCCUGAGUCUUCAGCAACAUUAUCAGGAUUGGAUGGAGUGAAGGUGAAGGAGUCGGCCCAGUACACAGGAACAAGAGGGACUGAACGAUACCCACGCAAGGCAGGAGAGCACUGCAUUUGGGGACCCCCGGGAGCCAGGGGCAGACCUCCCCACAAAGAACCUCAGAGUCCAGACUCCAACCCCUGGGUCUUCCUGUUACAUGACACUGGACAUAAACCCCCAAACCCAUGGCCCGGCCCCGCCCAGAAGCUCCAGAGAGCAGAGGACCAUCGCCACUGCCCCGACGUAGGGGAGGAAAGAGGAGGAAUCUCUUUGUGCACUCAUUUCGAGGCCGUCCUGGGCAGUUGGAUCCAGUCCCGCAACCUCAGCCCACUUGGUCAGGCGACCUUAAAGGCAUCAACCAC